UUUAACGCGAAGGACCUUACCAGGUCUUGACAUCGCUUCUGAUAAUCCUAGAGAUAGGACGUUCCCCUUCGGGGGACAGAGUGACAGGUGGUGCAUGGUUGUCGUCAGCUCGUGUCGUGAGAUGUUGGGUUAAGUCCCGCAACGAGCGCAACCCUUGAUCUUAGUUGCCAGCAUUCAGUUGGGCACUCUAAGGUGACUGCCGGUGACAAACCGGAGGAAGGUGGGGAUGACGUCAAAUCAUCAUGCCCCUUAUGACCUGGGCUACACACGUGCUACAAUGGAUGGUACAAAGGGCUGCAAGACCGCGAGGUUUAGCCAAUCCCAUAAAACCAUUCUCAGUUCGGAUUGUAGGCUGCAACUCGCCUACAUGAAGCUCGGAAUCGCUAGUAAUCGCGGAUUCAAGCAUUGCCCGCCGGUGAAUACGUUCCCGGGCCUUGUACACACCGAAAA
rnacentral:rRNA from 1 species